ACACCUGCUACAGAAUCUGGCAGCAUACCGUCUGGCCACUUGCCCUUGUUUGCCCAACCGAAUAUAAUAAUUUACUGCACACUUAGCGUGGAAGACAAUGGAGUCUGCAUUGUUGGUUGGCCCCUCCUCUCUCUUCUUUGUUGUAAUCCUCUUCUCUCUGUUGAUGAAAAUGGGUGAUACACAUCUAACUAUGAACAGCAGAAAAUUACAGAGCAACAGCGAAGGCAACCAGAAGAUCUAAGAAAUGGGAAAGACUGAUCUUCAUAAACAAAAUCAGAGAUAAAACUUCUACUUUGAGAUCAUGUAUCUCUGUUAUUAUUGUGGUUGUGGACUCAUGGUAAAAUAACACAUUUACAACUCAGUG